rnacentral:rRNA from 1 species
UGGGGAAUAUUGCGCAAUGGGCGAAAGCCUGACGCAGCGACGCCGCGUGGAGGAUGAAGGUCUUCGGAUUGUAAACUCCUGUUAAGCGGGAAGAAAUGUCUACCUCUAAUACAGGUGGAAGAUGACGGUACCGCUAGAGAAAGCACUGGCUAACCUCGUGCCAGCAGCCGCGGUAAUACGAGGGGUGCAAGCGUUAUUCGGAAUUACUGGGCGUAAAGGGUGCGUAGGCGGCAUGAUAAGUCCGUUGUUAAAUUUCUCGGCCUAACCGAGAUGAUGCGAUGGAUACUAUCAAGCUUGAGGAUGGAAGAGAGAGGUGGAAUUCUCGGAGUAGCGGUAAAAUGCGUAGAUCUCGAGAGGAACACCGAUGGCGAAGGCAGCCUCUUGGUCCAUAUCUGACGCUGAGGCACGAAAGCGUGGGGAGCAAACAGG